UGAAAUUGUAAACUCCUUUGAUCGGGGAUGAAAAAAAUGACAGUACCCGAAAAACAAGCCACGGCUAACUACGUGCCAGCAGCCGCGGUAAUACGUAGGUGGCAAGCGUUGUCCGGAAUUAUUGGGCGUAAAGGGCGCGUAGGCGGUCCCUUAAGUCAGAUGUGAAAUCCCGAGGCUUAACCUCGGGCGUGCAUUUGAAACUGGGGGACUAGAGUGCAGGAGAGGUAAGUGGAAUUCCUAGUGUAGCGGUGAAAUGCGUAGAUAUUAGGAGGAACACCAGUGGCGAAGGCGACUUACUGGACUGUAACUGACGCUGAGGCGCGAAAGCGUGGGGAGCAAACAGGAUUAGAUACCCUGGUAGUCCACGCUGUAAACGAUGGAUACUAGGUGUGGGAGGUAUCGACCCCUUCCGUGCCGCAGUAAACGCAAUAAGUAUCCCGCCUGGGGAGUACGGCCGCAAGGUUGAAACUCAAA
rnacentral:rRNA from 1 species